rnacentral:misc_RNA from 1 species
GACAUCUUGGACCGAGAAGAAGGAUGCCCUCGAUGAGCGCGUCGAGGCAGGCGUCAAAAGUCUCCGCCACCGCAAGAGCCACGAAGUUCUCAGCAAUUCGGAAGCUGCCCACUGCAAAGCAAAGUACCUCCGCAGUGGCGGCGGCUCAUACAAGCAGUGACGAGCCGAGGCGCCCGGCACUCAUCAGCUUCGACGUUGACGCCACCAUCGAUACAGUGAACUCAUUGCACGAAGAGCAGCACCGCGUAAGCGAGGAGGACGUCACGGACAAACGAAUCGGCCGCUACCACUAUGCGCAGCUUGUUGCACGCCUGAAUGAGCAACGCAGUCUAUACCAAUCUACCGCUGUGUUUGUGGAAACAAUGCUGAAGGAGGUCAAUCACUCCACCGAAGCCAGCGUUGCGAUGAAAGCGUCGGCAGCUACAUGGGGUCUCAAGCUCCUGGCUAAGCACGCUGGCUACGGCGCCAUUAACACGGUUCUCGAAUCGCUUUUGCCGGCUCUGUACUGCGAGUACAGCCCGGAGAAGCUGUGCAGGGCACCCCCCGCCGUGGAGCUGCAGGUGCGGAGGCCGGACGUGCUCAUGGACAACCCGUAUUUCACACAUUCCAUGUUCGUGGAUGAGGUACAGGUGGACAAGAGAUCUGCUACCAAGCUUCAAAAGUCGCUGGAGGCAGCGUUGCGUGCGAACGACCAGCGCAGAAGCAUUGUGUGUCACCUUAUUGAGCGCCAACGGCAGCAGCAACUUGAGGUCGUCUUCCGCUGCUGGCGCCACCAUGUACGCCAACAGCACCUUCUGCGCAUGAUGGGCGACAACACAGCGAAGCAGUGGGCAGAUGAGAUGUCGAGGCUGCGUGUGCAGGCAGUCUUUUACCACUGGAAGCUACUUGUAGAACGAUCGCGAAGUACGUAUCUGACAGAGAGACUGCACGAAGCCGCGUUUCAGCUGGAAAACGCAAAGAAUCAGUUUCAGCUGCAGUGCUACCGCGCUGAUCGCCUGGUGCGAACGGCAAAAGAGGCGACGGAAGAGAUGGAGCGAGUGUCGCAGAUCAACGAGGACCUUCAGCGGCAAGUGGAUGAGUUGAAUGAAGAGCAGGUGCGCAAGGAGAGAGAGUACAAAGAGAAGCUAACGCGAAACGUGACGCAGGUGCUGAAGCUGCUGGAAACCUACGACGCGCUGGCGCGCGUAUUGCUGCAUUCGAAGCAAGCGGAAGAGUAUUUUAUGCCAGAGAAGCCGCUUUUAGCUCGACAAUCUCAGAGUGGUGACGGCGGUGAGGAAGCAUCGGAAAAUGAAGGUCAGUUGCUUGAGGUGAACGCUGUCGCGGAGGCGAGCUGGGAGAGCCCGUCCGGCUCAGCGCUGCAGUGGCUGCGGCAGUGGUGUGAUGGGGUGCUGGGGCAAGCCAGCGGUCGUACGGAACCAUUCAAGCCGAUUCGCUCCUUCGGCGCCGACUUUUCGAACGGCGAGCGCUACCUCUACAUUUUUCAGCACGUAUUCCCCGAGGUGGUCCCGACGGUGCUCCAGAUUCACGACAUGGACGUCGAGUCGCGGCUGCGCCGCAUUCGCGGCUACGUCGCUGACUGUGGCCUUCGCUACCGGCUGGUGCCAUCGGACCUCAUGAAUCAGCGGGAGGAUCUGCUUGUGUGCUCCCUGAGCGAGCUCUACCAGCAGCACCUGCUACGUAAGUGGGACCAGAUGGUGUCGCGGUCGAUGACAGAGCUGAACGCGCUUAGGGAGGGUGACAUGAAAGAAGCCCUGCUUGGGUGCACGGCCUCAUCAUCAACGGAGGAUGUCGCAGACGUUCCAGCCGAGCAGCUGGACGAGGCCGCAGUGAGGGCGCACGUUAGCGACUAUGUCGAGCGAGUGAAGGCCAUGAGCGAAGAGUUCAGAACGUCACUCGCAGUGGAAAACGAGGUAGUGAAGGCCAGUACCGCUAUUGCGGUGCAGGAGGCGCGCCUCGGCGGCGAGCGUCUCCAGGGGACGCCUAUCCCGCUCGUGGAUGAGGCGGAACGGUGCGCGUUCUGGAAGCUGCCGGCCGGCGCGUUGGAUGACCUGCGCGGAGCUAAGAAGCUCAACUCCGAGGAGAGGAUGUGGAACCUAAUCGUGACGCAAACGCUCCCGGAGGUGCUGCAGGCGCACGUCGACACAACGUCACGCCUCUUCUACCUCUUCGCUGGAGAGAACGCCAAGUCGCUCUCGGAGGUGGCGUUUUGGCGCCUUGUCGAGUGCAGUGGCAUAUUGGUUGGUGGUAUGGAAGUUCCCAUGGAUUGGAUAGCGAGGCAGUACGACCACGUCGUGACGCCACAACUUGACGCAGCGCUAAGGGCGGUGGCGCGCAAUCAGAGCGAGAUGAGUGUUCAGAAGCUGCGCCAGGUCGCCUACCAAGAAAUGGACAUCCGCAGCGCAACACCACAGCAGUUCGUCGAGCUGCUUGUGCGACUGGCCAUGGCGUCGGAGAAGGGUAAGUACGGUCUCGUCGAAGGCACGCGCCGCCUACUGCAGGGGCUGCAGCUACUCAACAAUGAAAUCUCUCCGGUGGCUCGCGCGCUGCACGAGCCGGAAGCGCAGCAUGUGUUGCGCUUUUUCAACGAGGAUCUGUUUCGCGUGUACCUCUUCUAUGUGAAAAAGCAGGAGUCCUCGCGCAACACGCAGGACGCGUCGAUGGCCACCCAGUUCGGAGGCCGCUUUGCCUCGCAGAUGUCGAUCACAAUGUUCCUCACCAUGCUGGAAGACUGCCGAUUCCUCCUCGACGGCAGCGGGCGGAGAAACUCUUCGAUAGGCGUCUCAGCUGAUUUCACGCGGCCGCUCUUCUUCAUCAACGCUGCGCAAGUGCGCAAAGUGGUCUCCGCGCUGGGGAGUUUUUGCAAGGGCGCCAUGAGCGGUGGGCUCUCGUUUAACCUCUUUGUGGAUACGCUCGCGGUGCUGGCUCACCACUGGUGCCCUGAUCCGCUCGUGCCGGAGCCGCGGCGACUCGCUGGCUUCCUUGCCCACACGGUGCAGCAGCUGAGUGCGCGCCACAUCAACUCCACGUUACUCCUGGGUACCGUUCCGUCAAUUAGGUUGGAGGGGCCCAGGAACGUCGACUUCUCGCAGGAGGCACGCCCAUCAGUCGGCACCGUCGCCUAACCGCUAGGAAACGACGUUGUGCUGCGCUGGAAGUGGACACUGGGACGAGAAAGAGGGCAAAGGACAGCGACGGAGGUACGUGGUACUGGCGCCAUCAUUCUCGUCCCUGCGUCAAGUAGAUCUGCCGGCAUCCUGUGCACGUGUCUGUGUGUUGCCAAAGGCUCAAUCUCUCCGCUCGCCUCUAUCCAAUGGCCCCCCCCCCUCCCUCUCCCUUGCGAGCACGUCGCUCGUGUGUACACUUUCGAGCCCUCCUCUCUGUUUGUCCAUGUACAUAUCAAGGCCGUGCCGUUC